rnacentral:rRNA from 1 species
AGCAGCCGCGGUAAUUCCAGCUCCAAUAGCGUAUAUUAAAGUUGUUGCAGUUAAAAAGCUCGUAGUUGAAUUUCGGGGUUCUACCGUUGGUCGGGCUACCAAGUCUGUACUGGUGUGUAGAAUUCCUACCUUCUGGGGAACUAUCAUGUUAUUAAUUUAGCGUGGUGGGAAACCAGGACCUUUACCUUGAAAAAAUUAGAGUGUUCAAAGCAAGGCUUAUGUCUGAAUACAUUAGCAUGGAAUAAUAGAAUAGGGCGGUGGUCCUGUUUGUUGGUUCUGAAUCACCGUAAUGAUUAAUAGGGAUAGUUGGGGGCAUUAGUAUUCAAUUGUCAGAGGUGAAAUUCUUGGAUUUAUUGAAGACUAACUUCUGCGAAAGCAUUUGCCAAGGAUGUUUUCAUUAAUCAAGUAACGAAAGUUAG